rnacentral:rRNA from 1 species
GACGAACGCUGGCGGCGUGCUUAACACAUGCAAGUCGAACGGAAAGGCCCUGCUUGCAGGGUACUCGAGUGGCGAACGGGUGAGUAACACGUGGGUGAUCUGCCCUGCACUUCGGGAUAAGCCUGGUAAACUGGGUCUAAUACCGGAUAGGAGCCAUUUUUAGUGUGAUGGUUGGAAAGUUUUUUCGGUGUAGGAUGAGCUCGCGGCCUAUCAGCUUGUUGGUGGGGUAAUGGCCUACCAAGGCGGCGACGGGUAGCCGGCCUGAGGGGGUGGACGGCCACAUUGGGACUGAGAGACGGCCCAGACGCCUACGGGAGGCAGCAGUGGGGAAGAUUGCACAAUGGGCGCAAGCCGGAUGCAGCGACGCCGCGUGGUGGAUGACGGCCUUCGGGUUGUAAACGCCUUUCGCGAGGGACGAAGCUUUUUGUGACGGUACCUAGAGAAGAAGCACCGGCUAACUACGUG